GACGAACGCUGGCGGCGUGCCUAAUACAUGCAAGUCGAGCGAAUCGAUGGGAGCUUGCUCCCUGAGAUUAGCGGCGGACGGGUGAGUAACACGUGGGUAACCUGCCUGUAAGACUGGGAUAACUUCGGGAAACCGGAGCUAAUACCGGAUACUUUCUUUUCUCGCAUGAGGGAAGAUGGAAAGAUGGUUCUGCUAUCACUUACAGAUGGACCCGCGGCGCAUUAGCUAGUUGGUGAGGUAACGGCUCACCAAGGCAACGAUGCGUAGCCGACCUGAGAGGGUGAUCGGCCACACUGGGACUGAGACACGGCCCAGACUCCUACGGGAGGCAGCAGUAGGGAAUCUUCCGCAAUGGACGAAAGUCUGACGGAGCAACGCCGCGUGAGCGAAGAAGGCCUUCGGGUCGUAAAGCUCUGUUGUUAGGGAAGAACAAGUACGAGAGUAACUGCUCGUACCUUGACGGUACCUAACCAGAAAGCCACGGCUAACUACGUGCCAGCAGCCGCGGUAAAAC
rnacentral:rRNA from 1 species